AGGAUAAACGCUGGCGGCGUGCCUAACACAUGCAAGUCGAACGUCUCUUCUUUCGGGAAGAGGAGUGGCGGACGGGUGAGGAACACGUGGGAACCUGCCCUUUAGUGAGGAAUACCGGCGAGAAAUCGCCGACAAGACCGCAUAGCCCUCUUUGAUGAGAGUCAAAGAAGGAAAGCUUCGCAAGAGGCGCUAGAGGAGGGGCCUGCGUCCGAUUAGCUAGUUGGUGGGGUAAGAGCCUACCAAGGCGUCGAUCGGUAGCUGGUCUGAGAGGACGAUCAGCCACACUGGGAUUGAGAACGGCCCAGACUCCUACGGGGGCAGCAGUGAGGAAUUUUCGGCAAUGGGGGAAACCCUGACCGAGCAACGCCGCGUGCAGGAAGACGGCCUUCGGGUUGUAAACUGCUUUUCUUUGGGACGAGGAAGGACGGUACCAGAGGAAUCAGCCCCGGCUCACUACGUGCCAGCAGCCGC
rnacentral:rRNA from 1 species